rnacentral:rRNA from 1 species
AGACGUCUACAUUAGAUACCCGCGUAGUCCCAGCCGUAAACUAUGCGCGUUAGGUGUAUCGGUGACCACGAGUCACCGAGGUGCCGAAGGGAACCGUGAAACGUGCCGCCUGGGAAGUACGGUCGCAAGGCUGAAACUUAAAGGAAUUGGCGGGGAGCACCACAACGGGUGGAGCCUGCGGUUUAAUUGGACUCAACGCCGGGAAGCUCACCGGAUAAGACAGCGGAAUGAUUGCCGGGCUGAAGACUCUGCAUGACUAGCUG